CGCUCAUCCAGAGGGGCAGAGGGAACGGCCCGUUGAAGCCCCGGCAACCGGCGACGCACGCUUUGCGGUGCGUCGAUCACGGUGCCAAUUCCGACCCACACGUGGGAAAGAUGAGGA
rnacentral:ncRNA from 2 species